rnacentral:snRNA from 1 species
GGAUGUGAUGGCGAUCUGGCUGCAACAUCUGUCACCCCAUUGAUCUCCAGGGUUCAUUUGGCUGAGCUGGCUGGCUAGGUGGGUGUCCCCUUCCUCCCUCAAUGCUCCACAUACGUCCCUCCUGAAGCUGCAGACUGGGUUGAAGAGGACGACCUUCCCCAAUCUUCCGUCUUCAGUCAAGGGUAUGCGAGUAGCUGCGCUCCCCUGCUAGCACCUCCAAACAAGCUCUCAAGAGUUAAAAGCAAGCUUUGAGUUACCACAUGUAAAUAUCUGCACCAAUAAAGGAGUAGCGGGGACCAGUUCUGGGUUAUCUCUGU